ACAACUUUCAGCAACGGAUCUCUUGGCUCUCGCAUCGAUGAAGAACGCAGCGAAAUGCGAUAAGUAAUGUGAAUUGCAGAAUUCAGUGAAUCAUCGAAUCUUUGAACGCACCUUGCGCUCCUUGGUAUUCCGAGGAGCAUGCCUGUUUGAGUAUCA
rnacentral:rRNA from 5 species